UUUUCUCUUUGGAAAGAUUCAUGCAAACGAGAUCGCCCAAUGAUGUUGACGUUUUGACACCAAUCUGAUUACAUAAGCUCAUUGAUGAACUGCUUAUUUCCGUGUAUAGUGGUUCUACUAAUCAGAUGAACUUUGAUUUCAUUUUCAAAAUAAUAAUAAAAUUCCUGGAAAUCAUGUUGUUACUGUUUGGCAAUGUUGGGUCGAUAUUCCAGAACGUGGAGAGAUAGAAAUCAGUCAGUUUGGUUUGAAUGAUGUGCUUCAGCCAUCAUCAUUCAUUAUCAAGAAACAGCAGUUUCAUUCUUGGUGGUUUCUGGCUAAUCUUUUUUCAUAAAUACCAACUAUGGCCAUUGUUUAGAUGGCCCUCCUUGUCAAAUGGUCUGCUGAACGAGCCCAACCCUAAUUUCCAUCCGAGAGUUGCAUGUGUUCACCCACGUUACAAAUAUGUUUGUGUAAUAAUAACCGGUUGUUUCAGGUCAUGCUUCAAGGGACCUUUUUUUCCUGAUCUCCAUAUUAUGAAAGGAGUUGGGUUUUUAUCAAACUUGGCCGAGCUGAGUGCACCACCAAAUUUGCAAAACCGCAUCAGAUUACACAAGCCCAGAGCUGUCAUCUGGCUGUGACGCAGAGAGGGCCAAUAAUCCUGAGCUGCAUAAUAUGCUACAUUGACUUGAUUUGCAUAAUAUACGGCCAUCAGACACAGCAGCAGAUAUGACCGAGAAAAGAGUGCUCCACUAGGCGGCGGCUCCGGUGAUCUCAGCGUCCGUCUCAGUUGGAGCAUCGCCUCUGCCGGCGGAUUUUUCAAAAGGACCGUCGAAGCUGUCGAUGCCGUCGCGGCAGCCGGCAGGAGCGGUGGCUGACCGGGCAC